UACGGAAUCGUCUAAUGGUAGGACCUCUCCCUCUGAAGGAGAUUAUCUUGGUUCGAGUCCAAGUUCCGUAGCCA
rnacentral:tRNA from 1 species